AGAGGGUGGCAAGCGUUGUUCGGAAUUACUGGGCGUAAAGGGCGCGCAGGCGGUUUGCCAAGUCUCGUGUGAAAUCCCCCGGCUCAACUGGGGAACUGCGCGGGAUACUAGUGGACUUGAGUUCGGGAGAGGAAAGCGGAAUUCCGGGUGUAGCGGUGAAAUGCGCAGAUAUCCGGAGGAACACCAGUGGCGAAGGCGGCUUUCUGGACCGACACUGACGCUGAGGCGCGAAAGCUAGGGGAGCGAACGGGAUUAGAUACCCCGGUAGUCCUAGCCCUAAACGAUGAGCACUGGGUGUAGGGGGUAUGAACCCCCCCUGUGCCGAAGCUAACGCAUUAAGUGCUCCGCCUGGGGAGUACGGUCGCAAAGGCUG
rnacentral:rRNA from 1 species